rnacentral:rRNA from 1 species
AGAGUUUGAUCAUGGCUCAGAUUGAACGCUGGCGGCAGGCCUAACACAUGCAAGUCGAACGGUAACAGGAAGCAGCUUGCUGCUUCGCUGACGAGUGGCGGACGGGUGAGUAAUGUCUGGGAAGCUGCCUGAUGGAGGGGGAUAACUACUGGAAACGGUAGCUAAUACCGCAUAAUGUCGCAAGACCAAAGAGGGGGACCUUCGGGCCUCUUGCCAUCGGAUGUGCCCAGAUGGGAUUAGCUUGUUGGUGGGGUAACGGCUCACCAAGGCGACGAUCCCUAGCUGGUCUGAGAGGAUGACCAGCCACACUGGAACUGAGACACGGUCCAGACUCCUACGGGAGGCAGCAGUGGGGAAUAUUGCACAAUGGGCGCAAGCCUGAUGCAGCCAUGCCGCGUGUAUGAAGAAGGCCUUCGGGUUGUAAAGUACUUUCAGCGGGGAGGAAGGGAGUAAAGUUAAUACCUUUGCUCAUUGACGUUACCCGCAGAAGAAGCACCGGCUAACUCCGUGCCAGCAGCCGCGGUAAUACGGAGGGUGCAAGCGUUAAUCGGAAUUACUGGGCGUAAAGCGCACGCAGGCGGUUUGUUAAGUCAGAUGUGAAAUCCCCGGGCUCAACCUGGGAACUGCAUCUGAUACUGGCAAGCUUGAGUCUCGUAGAGGGGGGUAGAAUUCCAGGUGUAGCGGUGAAAUGCGUAGAGAUCUGGAGGAAUACCGGUGGCGAAGGCGGCCCCCUGGACGAAGACUGACGCUCAGGUGCGAAAGCGUGGGGAGCAAACAGGAUUAGAUACCCUGGUAGUCCACGCCGUAAACGAUGUCGACUUGGAGGUUGUGCCCUUGAGGCGUGGCUUCCGGAGCUAACGCGUUAAGUCGACCGCCUGGGGAGUACGGCCGCAAGGUUAAAACUCAAAUGAAUUGACGGGGGCCCGCACAAGCGGUGGAGCAUGUGGUUUAAUUCGAUGCAACGCGAAGAACCUUACCUGGUCUUGACAUCCACGGAAGUUUUCAGAGAUGAGAAUGUGCCUUCGGGAACCGUGAGACAGGUGCUGCAUGGCUGUCGUCAGCUCGUGUUGUGAAAUGUUGGGUUAAGUCCCGCAACGAGCGCAACCCUUAUCCUUUGUUGCCAGCGGUCCGGCCGGGAACUCAAAGGAGACUGCCAGUGAUAAACUGGAGGAAGGUGGGGAUGACGUCAAGUCAUCAUGGCCCUUACGACCAGGGCUACACACGUGCUACAAUGGCGCAUACAAAGAGAAGCGACCUCGCGAGAGCAAGCGGACCUCAUAAAGUGCGUCGUAGUCCGGAUUGGAGUCUGCAACUCGACUCCAUGAAGUCGGAAUCGCUAGUAAUCGUGGAUCAGAAUGCCACGGUGAAUACGUUCCCGGGCCUUGUACACACCGCCCGUCACACCAUGGGAGUGGGUUGCAAAAGAAGUAGGUAUCUUAACCUUCGGGAGGGCGCUUACCACUUUGUGAUUCAUGACUGGGGUGAAGUCGGAACAAGGUA